rnacentral:rRNA from 1 species
UACAGAGGUCCCAAGCGUUCGUUCGGAUUCAUUGGGCGUAAAGGGUGCGUAGGCGGCGCGGUAAGUCGGGUGUGAAAUCUCGGGGCUUAACUCCGAAACUGCAUUCGAUACUGCCGUGCUUGAGGACUGGAGAGGAGACUGGAAUUACGGUGUAGCGGUGAAAUGCGUAGAUAUCGUAAGGAAGACCAGUGGCGAAGGCGGGUCUCUGGACAGUUCCUGACGCUGAGGCACGAAGGCCAGGGGAGCAAACGG